UGGUAAUGCCGGAUGUUCCAGUUGAUCGCAUGGUCUUCUGGGAAAGCUUUCGCGGUAUGGGAUGGGGUCGCGUCCUAUCAGCUUGACGGCGGGGUAACGGCCCACCGUGGCUUCGACGGGUAGCCGGCCUGAGAGGGCGACCGGCCACAUUGGGACUGAGAUACGGCCCAGACUCCUACGGGAGGCAGCAGUGGGGAAUAUUGCACAAUGGGCGCAAGCCUGAUGCAGCGACGCCGCGUGAGGGAUGGAGGCCUUCGGGUUGUAAACCUCUUUUAUCGGGGAGCAAGCGUGAGUGAGUUUACCCGUUGAAUAAGCACCGGCUAACUACGUGCCAGCAGCCGCGGUAAUACGUAGGGUGCAAGCGUUAUCCGGAAUUAUUGGGCGUAAAGGGCUCGUAGGCGGUUCGUCGCGUCCGGUGUGAAAGUCCAUCGCUUAACGGUGGAUCCGCGCCGGGUACGGGCGGGCUUGAGUGCGGUAGGGGAGACUGGAAUUCCCGGUGUAACGGUGGAAUGUGUAGAUAU
rnacentral:rRNA from 1 species